AUUGAACGCUGGCGGCAGGCCUAACACAUGCAAGUCGAGCGAGCGGCGGACGGGUGAGUAAUGUCUGGGAAACUGCCUGUUGGUGGGGGAUAACUACUGGAAACGGUAGCUAAUACCGCAUACCAUCAGAUGUGCCCAGAUGGGCUUAGCUAGUAGGUGGGGUAACGGCUCACCUAGGCGACGAUCCCUAGCUGGUCUGAGAGGAUGACCAGCCCCACUGGAACUGAGGCACGGUCGAGACGCCUAGGGGAGGCAGCAGUGGGGAAUAUUGCACAAUGGGCGAAAGCGUGGUGCAGCCAUGCCGAGUGUGUGAAGAAGGCGUUGGGGUUGUGAAGCACUUUCAGCGGGGAGGCGUUACCCGCAGGAGAAGCAGCGGCUAACUCCGUGCCAGAGGCCGCGGUAAUAC
rnacentral:rRNA from 1 species